rnacentral:rRNA from 1 species
AGACCCGAAACCCGGUGAUCUAGCCAUGGGCAGGUUGAAGGUUGGGUAACACUAACUGGAGGACCGAACCGACUAAUGUUGAAAAAUUAGCGGAUGACCUGUGGCUGGGGGUGAAAGGCCAAUCAAACCGGGAGAUAGCUGGUUCUCCCCGAAAGCUAUUUAGGUAGCGCCUCGUGAAUUCAUCUCCGGGGGUAGAGCACUGUUUCGGCUAGGGGGCCAUCCCGGCUUACCAACCCGAUGCAAACUGCGAAUACCGGAGAAUGUUAUCACGGGAGACACACGGCGGGUGCUAACGUCCGUCGUGAAGAGGGAAACAACCCAGACCGCCAGCUAAGGUCCCAAAGUCAUGGUUAAGUGGGAAACGAUGUGGGAAGGCCCAGACAGCCAGGAUGUUGGCUUAGAAGCAGCCAUCAUUUAAAGAAAGCGUAAUAGCUCACUGGUCGAGUCGGCCUGCGCGGAAGAUGUAACGGGGCUAAACCAUGCACCGAAGCUGCGGCAGCGAACGUAUCACCCAAGACAACUUUACGGAGUUGACGAUUGACGGAGCGAAGCGACGUCAAAGCGUUCAUUAAAGUCGAGUUGGCUUAGGGAUACGUUCGUUGGGUAGGGGAGCGUUCUGUAAGCCUGUGAAGGUGUGUCGUGAGGCAUGCUGGAGGUAUCAGAAGUGCGAAUGCUGACAUAAGUAACGAUAAAGCGGGUGAAAAGCCCGCUCGCCGGAAGACCAAGGGUUCCUGUCCAACGUUAAUCGGGGCAGGGUGAGUCGACCCCUAAGGCGAGGCCGAAAGGCGUAGUCGAUGGGAAACGGGUUAAUAUUCCCGUACUUGGUGUUACUGCGAAGGGGGGACGGAGAAGGCUAUGUUGGCCGGGCGACGGUUGUCCCGGUUUAAGGGUGUAGGUGUGUGUUCCAGGUAAAUCCGGUUCACUUUAACACUGAGGCGUGACGACGAGGCACUACGGUGCUGAAGCAACAAAUGCCCUGCUUCCAGGAAAAGCCUCUAAGCAUCAGGUAACACGAAAUCGUACCCCAAACCGACACAGGUGGUCAGGUAGAGAAUACCAAGGCGCUUGAGAGAACUCGGGUGAAGGAACUAGGCAAAAUGGUGCCGUAACUUCGGGAGAAGGCACGCUGACACGUAGGUGAAGUGAUUUACUCAUGGAGCUGAAGU